rnacentral:rRNA from 1 species
UACAGAGGGGGCAAGCGUUGUUCGGAAUUACUGGGCGUAAAGGGCGCGUAGGCGGCCUGCUAAGUCAGACGUGAAAUCCCUCGGCUCAACCGGGGAACUGCGUCUGAUACUGGUUGGCUUGAGUGCAGGAGAGGAACGCGGAAUUCCAGGUGUAGCGGUGAAAUGCGUAGAUAUCUGGAGGAACACCGGUGGCGAAGGCGGCGUUCUGGACUGCAACUGACACUGAGGAACGAAAGCCAGGGGAGCAAACGGG